rnacentral:lncRNA from 1 species
GCAAGGCUGGUUCAAUAUACGCAAAUCAAUAAAUGUAAUCCAGCAUAUAAACAGAACCAAAGACAAAAACCACAUGAUUAUCUCAAUAGAUGCAGAAAAGGCCUUUGACAAAAUUCAACAACCCUUACCUUCAUGCUAAAAACUCUCAAUAAAUUAGGUAUUAAUGGGACGUAUCUCAAAAUAAUAANNNNNNNNNNNNNNNNNNNNNNNNNNNNNNNNNNNNNNNNNNNNNNNNNNNNNNNNNNNUCAGAGGAUCAAGGUCAGUGGUUCUUAGAACUUUAAAAGAACUUUGGAACCACACCAGAAAUAUAAUCUGUAUCUCUGCCACAAGCACAAUGCCCUACCAAAGCAAAAUACCAAAGCUUAUUUGUACUUACUAAAAGAAUGAAGAAGAAUCAAAAGGCAGUUUUUGGUAUUAGUUACAUAGUCAGAAUUUCCAAAGAUAUUUACAUGUGAAUGCCUCAUUUUCAGGCUCCUCUGACAUGUAUUUCCAAUUUUUAAGGGACUACAGAUGAUUUACUGACACGUUCUCUUCCCUUGAAAAAUGUAUCGAUCCCUUAUUUAAAACGGCCCUUCUCUCUUCCUCUUGAUGCAAGUCAAAUAUGAUCCUAGGCAAAAUAACAUCUCCUUCCUCUAAAUUCUUAAUUCUCUACAGCAUGAGCCAUAAACUGCCUUGUGACACUAUUCUAUUAUUAUCUCAAAUGAUAAUUUUAAAUCUGUGACUCAGCCUCUUAUUGUACCUCUACCUCAGAAAUAGUCACAUCAAAGACAUGGGGUUAUGCUGUAUAGCAAAUAACAAAGGUAAGGAUGAGUUGCCCUGGGCAUGGCUGUCGGGUUGAGGGAAGAGAAGAAGGAGCAAGAAGGCAGAACUCAAACAUUAGCACAGAACAAUGCCUGGGUUGCCUGAUAAAUGAAAUCGGGAAGCCAAAGGCACGUGGCAUUAUCUUGUGGAAUUUCAGGUUGGGCAUAUUCUAUCACCUAACAAUUCAACUCCUGAACAUAUAUCCUGAAAAAAUAAUAUGUACAUAAAGAGGGCAGAAAAGCAUGCAUCUACUAGCUAGGACUGUCUAAAAAUACAACAGCAAAAAUAAAUUUCUAAUGCAAAAAAAAAAAAAAACCCAGACUUGUUAUAUUUCAGCUUACUAUUUCAGUUUAUGUUAUUUAGAAUGCAUCCCUGAAUCAUGUUCUAAUGGUCUGUAUCAAUUUUAUGUCAUAGUACUUCUUUAUUACUUCAUAUAAUCACAAUUUACACUUAAACCCUAUAAAUUCUAAAACUGGCAGCGGAUACCAAUUAUGUUUAUGGAAAGUCUCAACUUGGCUGUACUUCUUUUCAUAACUGGAAUUUCUCUAAGACUGGAAGUAAAGUUAGCUGUUGGGAGACUGAAACUUAGCACUUUCAUUUCAUUACCCCCCACCGUCAGGGAUUCACUCACAGGGAAGCAAAAAGGCUUGCCAAGCCCCACAGAAAUUACUCACUUCCACUCUCUCUUUCCUCAUCUCUCUUCCAAAUGUACUUCAAAACCUAAUUUUAAACUCAUGCAGGAAAUCUGAUUAACACCACUUGG